rnacentral:rRNA from 1 species
AUGAAGGGCACCAAGCUCGCGGCGAUCCUGAUCCUCCAGGCCGUCCUGGUCAUGGGACUCCUCUCACACGUGAACGCCGAUUUUUUCCCCAAGUGCUGCAACAACUGCAGGUCCUUCUCGGGGGUCGACGUCUGCGACGACGCCCACCCCAAGUGUCCCCAGGGCUGCUCGGCGUGCCGCGUGGUGUCGACGAGCCCCGAAAUGUGGCGCUGCGCGGAUAUGAAAUCCACCGUCGACGGCACCUGCGGUGGACCCUGCAAGAAGUACUGA